UACAGGGGGUGCAAACGUUGCUCGGAAUCAUUGGGCGUAAAGCGCACGUAGGCGGUUCGUUAUGUCGGAUGUGAAAGCCCUUGGCUUAACCGAGGAAGUGCAUCCGAAACUGGCGAGCUAGAGUACGAAAGAGGAGUCGCGGAAUUCCCGGUGUAGAGGUGAAAUUCGUAGAUAUCGGGAGGAACACCGGUGGCGAAGGCGGCGAUCUGGGUCGAUACUGACGCUGAGGUGCGAAAGCGUGGGGAGCAAACAGG
rnacentral:rRNA from 1 species